CCCGGCGAGGGGAGUGAAAAAGAACCUGAAACCGUGUACGUACAAGCAGUGGGAGCACAGGUUUACCUGUGUGACUGCGUACCUUUUGUAUAAUGGGUCAGCGACUUAUAUUCUGUAGCAAGGUUAACCGUAUAGGGGAGCCGUAGGGAAACCGAGUCUUAACCGGGCGUUAAGUUGCAGGGUAUAGACCCGAAACCCGGUGAUCUAGCCAUGGGCAGGUUGAAGGUUGGGUAACACUAACUGGAGGACCGAACCGACUAAUGUUGAAAAAUUAGCGGAUGACCUGUGGCUGGGGGUGAAAGGCCAAUCAAACCGGGAGAUAGCUGGUUCUCCCCGAAAGCUAUUUAGGUAGCGCCUCGUGAAUUCAUCUCCGGGGGUAGAGCACUGUUUCGGCUAGGGGGCCAUCCCGGCUUACCAACCCGAUGCAAACUGCGAAUACCGGAGAAUGUUAUCACGGGAGACACACGGCGGGUGCUAACGUCCGUCGUGAAGAGGGAAACAACCCAGACCGCCAGCUAAGGUCCCAAAGUCAUGGUUAAGUGGGAAACGAUGUGGGAAGGCCCAGACAGCCAGGAUGUUGGCUUAGAAGCAGCCAUCAUUUAAAGAAAGCGUAAUAGCUCACUGGUCGAGUCGGCCUGCGCGGAAGAUGUAACGGGGCUAAACCAUGCACCGAAGCUGCGGCAGCGAACGUAUCACCCAAGACAACUUUACGGAGUUGACGAUUGACGGAGCGAAGCGACGUCAAAGCGUUCAUUAAAGUCGAGUUGGCUUAGGGAUACGUUCGUUGGGUAGGGGAGCGUUCUGUAAGCCUGUGAAGGUGUGUCGUGAGGCAUGCUGGAGGUAUCAGAAGUGCGAAUGCUGACAUAAGUAACGAUAAAGCGGGUGAAAAGCCCGCUCGCCGGAAGACCAAGGGUUCCUGUCCAACGUUAAUCGGGGCAGGGUGAGUCGACCCCUAAGGCGAGGCCGAAAGGCGUAGUCGAUGGGAAACGGGUUAAUAUUCCCGUACUUGGUGUUACUGCGAAGGGGGGACGGAGAAGGCUAUGUUGGCCGGGCGACGGUUGUCCCGGUUUAAGCGUGUAGGUGUGUGUUCCAGGUAAAUCCGGUU
rnacentral:rRNA from 1 species